CUGUUUCUUCUUUGGCGAAGUCACUAAGUAACCUACUAAUUUUCGGUCUUAGUGAGUAGCUUCCUGAGUUCCUGUCAAGCUUCGGCAGCAUUUAGUCACCGCCUGGUGGUCGCUGGAGUAUUGAUCCGAUUCCGCCAUCGCGUUUUUGUCCCAUGGCGUAUUGAGUUUCGUGUGUUCUUCGAGCAUCCUUUGAUGAUUUUUUCUUCUGGUGUUGUCUGGCAAUUUUUUUAGCUUUUUAAUUUUUCAAUUAUUUUCCCGAAGGUGCUUCAGUCCAGAUUAUCUCACUAAUGCCGAUUGUUGAACUCUUUGCAAUUUCAAGCAAUUAUUUUAACUCAAUUGAAAUCGCGAAUUGUUUUUGUUCGCUCGGGACGCUGCACACUAGAGAAAUCACUUCCGAGUGUGCAAUCUUGUUUGUAACGUGAGUUUGGUGUGGAUUGUCGAUUUUGGAGUUCUCUAUCGCGGAGGUGAUGUUGAUUGCGACUGUUAUAUCUUUUCCAUCAGUUACCGGGUAGUGUAAUUCAGCUGUGUGUUUCGUGUUGUACUUGUGUCAAGAGAACUCUGUAGCAAUCUUGAGUUCGAUAGUUGUAGAGUACAGAUUAGGGCUUAGUAUUGGUGUUGAGGUUUGGAGGAGUGAUGGAGAUUGAACUGUCGUUAGAGAGUGCGUAUGGAGAUUCAAAUGUUGAUUAUUCGUACUGGAAUUUCGUGAUUCCGCGCGACCAAAAUCUGUUUGUAGAAAGCCACGGACGGAUAAGUUUGAAGUCUUUUGACAGCUUUGGAUGAGGCUACGAUCAUGGAAAUUUGUGCGAACAACGAGCGUGAUGCCGCGCGUUCCGAUACUGCAAAUAUCGUGUUAAACUAUGAACCAAUCGGAAGCUUUUACGACCAUAGAGAAAGUUAUUUAUGCAUGGAAAAUUAAGGUGGAAGCUGAGUUGAGCUUCAGUAUUGAUAAAUUGGUCGUGGAGAGGUAGCAAGAAGAGCAUCUACCUCUCCACAACCAAUUUUUCAGUAUUAAAGGGAGGAUAUGGAGGAGAAGAUUGAAAAAGUUGAAUAAAAGGUAUGAAUAGAGAGGAAGAUCCUGAAGAGGGAGAGGGCGGAGAAGAAAAGGAGCUAUUAGAAAGGGAGAAGAGUUGUCGAAGAAGGCACAGAUUACCAAUCUACAACAUCGUGACAAUGUAGAGAAUGAUGUUGAUAAUUGGUCCACGCUGGCGAUGCUUGAGAAUGGCUUGAAAAGCUUGUUCUGGUUGGAACAGAGAAGAAAAAUAUUUAGGUUCCAAAUUUCCCGCUCCUUCAAUGAGAAAUCUGGCGAUUUUAACAAAGAAGGUAGUGUGUUAACUUUGAAUUUUAAAUCUGGGAUUUGUCUUCAAGCAAGAUUAGCUCCACCUAGCUGCUUCCUCCUCCGCUCCUGAACUAAACGGAUACUUUGAUAAGGUACUUUUACUUGUUCAUCAGUACUCCAACCUCCUUUGUUGGUUUUGGCAGUUAGGAUUUUAGUUGAUUUGAGCUGCACGUAAGAAGGGCCGGCAGAUUAUUCGAAAUAUUUGCUACAGAUGCUUUCCACUGCUCUUUCUUAACUUCGAGGGCUCAGUUCUCUAUCUCUCUGAUUUUACUGUCGUCACGCUCUAUUUAUUAGUCAGAGCUGUUGAGAAUUGCCGUGAAGCGUCACAUUGACAUUUCCACCCUUUUAAAAGAAUUACUUCCUGUAAAUCUUGCUAUUGUGAGGCACAAGGGGAGAAAGUUUGUUCUAGAAGUAACGUACAGCCUCACUGUAAUUUCGAAAGAAGUUCUUAGUUACCUUAUUCGUAAGGUGCCACAAGUUUCGGGUUAUUGAGACUAGGUAGUUGCAGACGUGUCGCAUCAUCAGGUUCUACCUGGUGUACGUGUACACUCGAAGUUGUGAUAUUGACGUUUGAGUCCUUGAUCUUAGAGUUCUGGACCCCAAAGGUAAUAUCUUAUGUUGUUAGCACACCGCAGCAUGCUCAGCGUAGUAAUUGGGAGGAAUGACCUCUUUCGCAAUCUCAGAUUAUUUAUGCUCCAGCUGAUACACAUUGUUUGCUUGCCCUAUUUAGCACACUACGAUCUGAUGCUUUGGCCCUGAUCAGCCUGGUCAAGCAAAUGUUAAAACUGGCGAUAACCCAGCUUCAUUGAUUCAGAAGCGAACAUCCAGCUUUCAGGAGAUUAGAGGACCAGAACUGCAACUUUUCACAGGUGCGGGGCUGAGGCUUGCUUUUUAACCAUCUUAGAGCCCUGUUUGACGGCUAAAAGAUGUGCCAGUAAAAACUUUCAAAAUGAUCGUUAAAACACAAACUUCUGUGGUUGAGAUGCCACCAAUAAAAUGGUGGCCUUCCGCUAUUGUUACACAUUUCCCGUUCUUAGUGUACUUAAUAGCGAAACAACGAAACCAAAUUCAACUUUUUUAGGAGGCUUCGCUUUUCUGUGUGAAAAUUUUACUCGUAUCACACAUGUACCUAUAGCAUGGCCUUUCUUUUCUUUGCUUUGCUUUGCUUUCUUUCCUUCCCUUCUCUUUGUUUUUUUUUUUUUUUUUUUUUUUUUUUGUAUUUUUUUGGCAUGUUCAGAAAAGACUACUCUUACUACCCUUGUUGGUUACGUCUUUUCUCCAAAGAUGUGUCUUGCUAUAAGAAUGAUUGAAGCUGCACCUCGACCCUCACUUCUGUUGUUUCCGCUUGGGUUUAAUGACAAGCAGAGAAUUUUAGCCGAAAGUUAUUCCAAGUUUGUAAAAUAGUAUUCACUGGCAUUGGUAGUCAUUAUCUAGAGUUGCAAUAAGUCACAUGCGUGAAGGCUUAUAGGCCGGCGAGCUUGAGAAGCACCUAAGUACCCACGUGAUGAAAUGAUUUUGGACUUAGUUGGACAAAAGGAUAGGCGGAAAUGGGUGACCGAAGUUCUUGUGUGAUGGAAUGGUGUGCCAAUUCUCAAGUGCCGACCUUGACCAUGAACUUGAAUCUAUAUCCACAGUAAUUGUUUAUUUGCAAUUUCUUUAAUUGUUAAUAGAAUCGAAAAUAAUCAGUUUCACUUGGAGGUCUGGAUUGAGGGAUUGGCUGGGCGGUUGCGCUGUGUUGAGAUUGGUGCAGCAUCAUCUUCCACUAAGAACGCGGCAAAUGGUUGAGCAGAGGAUAUUUGAAGGUCGGUUUUUGCUAACGAAAGAUAUCAAACUGCUGCAGCUGUGAUCGAUGCAUGUAUUUUGGAAAGAAACCAGCAGUAUGGGAGCAACUUGAAGAGGUUCGAUCUGUAUCGAUGCGGUGCACAUCUAUUUUAUGUGCCUACGCCAUCCCGAUCAAGCUCCCCUUUUGAGAUCAUGCUUGACUGUAUAGUUUCUUAUCAUUCUCGUUCUCUCAUUGCUUCGUUGGUGGAGCGAAAACCAUGUCAGCAAUUUUUAAUUUCAUCCUGGUUGAGGAGGAAAUAAAUUGAUUUUUUUCUUGGCAUCUCUGUUCGAUAGGUAAUAAGGAGUUUCAGAUCUUGGUAUCGAAAUCAGAGCUUCUGUCACGAUUUGUUGAGUGUAAUGGGAAGUUUUCGCCAGGACCUCCCACAUCGAAUGAAGCUAAGCCUCCAGCUCCUGCAAUCUAGGGCGUUCCACAAUCUGUGUUUGGGAUUUGUGAGGAGCACUAGCAUUGCUUCGUGUGUGGACACUUAUUUUUGCA